AGAAGGAUUAGGGCAGGCUGUCAGGAGUUCGUCCUCACAGCACAUAACAACAGUCUCUUGCAAAAGACCAAGCAUGAAAGAAGCCAGCAUCUGCCUAGGGACAUCAAGAAUAAACAACAAAUAUAGCGCUUGGAUGCCUUGGGCCUGAAGCUAAAAUUGCCACAAAUAUCUUGACCAUGGAGGCUUGCUCUUCUCUCGUACUUGGGUUAUUUUUAGUUGGUUUCUUCUACCUACACCCUGGCUCUCACUAUAUAACUCUCUCUAAAUGAGGUAAGGGAUAAAAAGCUAUUUCUAAAUAUCUGUCUGUGGAAUCAAACCGUCCCUUGGAGGCCUGCCUUGCGCUGCUGCUGACUUACAGAUGGGACACAAAGACUUCUGAGGAGCCUGGCACAGGUCACGUGAGUACUCUGGUUUUACAACCUGCACGGCUUUCACAGCUAGCACAGGAAAGCAAAGGCCAGCGAAGUGUGCUCGUGAGAGACUGGAUGACACUGUUUCCAAACAUUUCCGACUCAGGAGGCAGCCAGGCUUCUGGUUUACAAGAUCCAUCUCAAGACUAGAAGUGACAAAGGAUCUGUGAUGUGACUAUAACAGGGCCGAGCAGCCAGCUGAUGCUCUUGGCGUCUCAAUUCACGGUGAAAGACCCGAUUCAAGGGACACAGGUGUCCUCAUCCUUUCUCUACUGUCAACAUGCAAGGUUUCAGAAGCUGUGAGUGACUCCAAGAUUCUGCUGAGAACGCCCUUGCCUGUAGCUCCCUGAUACUGUUGGAACCUUCUUCUCACAUCUCUACCCUCAGGCCUUUUCCUGGGCUUUGCGUAGGCAGCUAAAAUAAGCUUCUGCUUCUAAACUACUCGAGCCCAGCUGGCACAAUACCGCAACAGAGGAACUGGAUUGGGUGGGGUGCAGGGAAAGGAAGUAUACGGCAAAACCUUCCUUCUCCGAAAGCGCUUGGCAGGAGCCCACGGUUCCGGUUUAUCCUGACAAUUCCAGAUCAAGAGUAAUACGACUGGAUGUGUAGAAAGCCUUAGAAACAUACUUUUGUUAUUUCAUCAAAACAUUCCUGGGGAGCAGGAAUAUUGUUGAGGCAGGCUAUGUGUCAUUAUUGGCAUCGAGGGAGAAAAGGAGAGAGUUGGUCUGGCUCAGAGGCUGGAGCUCCUGUCACAGGUAGAAAUGACAUUUGCAUGGCUCCAGAGACAACAGAUGUUCACUGGCCAUUUGCUGGGCACAAAACCAGGGGACCUCUGCCUGUCUUCUCCACUGGCUCUAAGCGUUAGGCAAACGACACUCAGAGGAGACAGGAAGAUGAACUCUGGCUGCUGGGAAGCAGGACCAAGAGGGAGCAAAUGGCUAAGAAGCCCGCAGGACACUCACAAGGCUUAGUAGCACGUCUUGCAAGAGAUGUCAACAGCCAGGCGGUGCUCUUGUGGGAUCUGGACACAAACUGAGGUCUUCCCAUAGAAGUUCAUCCUUGUGGAAUGGCAGAUUCCAUUUCUGGUGGGUUUUCAAGAGAUUAUAGAGUCUAUGUUUUCUAGUCCCUCCCCCUUUCUCCAUAGUGUGUGUGUUUCUGUCUCUUUCUUUCUCUAUACAUCACCCUAAUGAUAGGGAUUGAGCCCAGAGCCUUUUGUAUGUUAGGUAAGCAUUCCACCCCUGAUCUACCAUCCUAGCCCUAGAUUUCAUUCUUGAAAAAAACAAAAAACAAAAAAACAACCACAAAAAAAAACAGUGUGUUUGUGAUCCUGUGCCUUCCAUUCCCAUUCAUAAAUACCUACAGAAAAUAAACUGUAUCUUACUAGUAUGGGUUGUCUUCUCCCUAGUUUAGACAUGUUGAAGUCUAAAGUCCUAUCUAUAAUUCAGGAUGUGGCUAUAUUUUUCUUUUGUUUUU